rnacentral:rRNA from 1 species
ACCGGUGACCAAAGCGGCGGGGCCACACCUGUUCCCAUCCCGAACACAGCAGUUAAGCCCGCCCGCGCCGAUGAUACUCGGCGGGCAACCGCCCGGAAAAGCAGGUCGUCGCCGGUU